rnacentral:rRNA from 1 species
GACGAACGCUGGCGGCGUGCUUAACACAUGCAAGUCGAACGGUGAAGCGCCUUCCUUUUUGGUGGGUGUGGAUGAGUGGCGGACGGGUGAGUAACACGUGAGUAACCUGCCCCCUUCUUCUGGAUAACCGCAUGAAAGUGUGGCUAAUACGGGAUAUUCUGGGUCUGUCGCAUGAUGGGUCUGGGUAAGAUAUUGUGUCGGGGGUGGAUGGGCUCGCGGCGUAUCAGCUUGUUGGGGUGGUGAUGGUCUACCAAGGCGAUGAGGGGUCGGCGGGCUUGGCGGGUGGCCGGCCUCAGUGGGACAGCGGCCCGACCGAGACUCCGACAGGAGGCAGCAGCGGGGAGUAGGGAACAGUGGGCAAAAGUCUGAUGCAGCGACGCGCCGUGAGGGAUGGCGCCCUGCGGGGUGUGAACCUCUUUCGGUAGUGAAGCACGCCUGCCUGGUUUGUGGGUGGGUUGACGGUAGCUGGAAAAGAAGCGCCGGCUAACUACGUG